rnacentral:lncRNA from 1 species
AGCAACUGAAGAACCAAGAGAAGAAGAAGAAGACAAUAAGAAGAAGAAAAGAAGAGAAGAAGGAAGCCACGAUGAGUGGCAGAGCUAUUAUUUCUUGUUUUUCUCAUCCAUCAACUUCGUGCUACAUUCCUUUAUCGCGCCGGACCCAGUUCGCACAUGCACCUCCACCGUCGCCGCUCCUGCUCUCGCGGCGGAGCCACCUCCUCGUUGCCGGCGGAAGGGGAGGCGGGAAGGUGUGGGCCAAUGUGAAGUCGGAGAAGAACUUGUCGGAGUCCCCCAAGUACGAGGAUGUUGUCGU